rnacentral:rRNA from 1 species
UACGUAGGGUGCGAGCGUUGUCCGGAAUUACUGGGCGUAAAGAGCUCGUAGGUGGUUUGUCACGUCGUCUGUGAAAUUCCGGGGCUUAACCUCGGGCGUGCAGGCGAUACGGGCAAUACUUGAGUGCUGUAGGGGAGACUGGAAUUCCUGGUGUAGCGGUGAAAUGCGCAGAUAUCGGGAGGAACACCAGUGGCGAAGGCGACUUCCUGGCACAAUACUGACGCUCAUGUGCGAAAGCUAGGGUAGCGAACGGGAUUAGAUACCCGCGUA